CAGCAGCCACGGUAAUACAGAGGGUGCGAGCGUUAAUCGGAUUUACUGGGCGUAAAGCGUGCGUAGGCGGCUUUUUAAGUCGGAUGUGAAAUCCCUGAGAUUAACUUAGGAAUUGCAUUCGAUACUGGGAAGCUAGAGUAUGGGAGAGGAUGGUAGAAUUCCAGGUGUAGCGGUGAAAUGCGUAGAGAUCUGGAGGAAUACCGAUGGCGAAGGCAGCCAUCUGGCCUAAUACUGACGCUGAGGUACGAAAGCAUGGGGAGCAAACAGGAUUAGAUACCCCCGUAGUCCCUGUCUCUUAUAC
rnacentral:rRNA from 1 species